UACGAAGGGGGCUAGCGUUGCUCGGAAUUACUGGGCGUAAAGGGAGCGUAGGCGGAUAGUUUAGUCAGAGGUGAAAGCCCAGGGCUCAACCUUGGAAUUGCCUUUGAUACUGGCUAUCUUGAGUAUGGGAGAGGUAAGCGGAACUCCGAGUGUAGAGGUGAAAUUCGUAGAUAUUCGGAAGAACACCAGUGGCGAAGGCGGCUUACUGGCCCAUUACUGACGCUGAGGCUCGAAAGCGUGGGGAGCAAACAGG
rnacentral:rRNA from 1 species